AUGUUCAAGUUAGAUCUAGCCAAGGCUUUCGAUUCUGUGUCUUGGGAGUUCCUUCUCAGCCUACUAGAAUUUAGAGGGUUUGGGCCGAAGUGGAGGGACUGGAUUUCCGCUCUUUUCCUUACCUCAUCCACCAAGGUCUUGGUUAAUUCGGCACUUACCGAUCAGAUUCUGCAUCGCAAGGGACUUAGACAAGGGGACCCCCUAUUCCCCCUUCUUUUUGUCUUGGUAGAUUGA
rnacentral:rRNA from 1 species